rnacentral:rRNA from 1 species
GGCGGCAGGCCUAACACAUGCAAGUCGAGCGGCAGCACGGGUACUUGUACCUGGUGGCGAGCGGCGGACGGGUGAGUAAUGCCUAGGAAUCUGCCUGGUAGUGGGGGAUAACGCUCGGAAACGGACGCUAAUACCGCAUACGUCCUACGGGAGAAAGCAGGGGACCUUCGGGCCUUGCGCUAUCAGAUGAGCCUAGGUCGGAUUAGCUAGUUGGUGAGGUAAUGGCUCACCAAGGCGACGAUCCGUAACUGGUCUGAGAGGAUGAUCAGUCACACUGGAACUGAGACACGGUCCAGACUCCUACGGGAGGCAGCAGUGGGGAAUAUUGGACAAUGGGCGAAAGCCUGAUCCAGCCAUGCCGCGUGUGUGAAGAAGGUCUUCGGAUUGUAAAGCACUUUAAGUUGGGAGGAAGGGCANUUACCUAAUACGUAAUUGUUUUGACGUUACCGACAGAAUAAGCACCGGCUAACUCUGUGCCAGCAGCCGCGGUAAUACAGAGGGUGCAAGCGU